AAAUAUUUUAAUUUGAAAUUAUGAUGAAGUUUCAUUUGUUGCUUGUGCUUUUCAUGUCAUAUCUAAGAAAUCACUGCCUAAUCCAAGGGAUGGCAGCUGUACCCUCUCGGCCCACUGGGGUGGCAGCCCCAAACCUCUCAGUCCAAGGAGGCGCUGUUGGAUAGGGCUCUGCAUCUGUGGCUCUUUCUUCAGGGAAGAAAAAUGGAACUAAAAAGGGAAAACAAUAGCAACAAAGAUCAAAAUAAAUAACAAGGAAGCGGAGAGAAGAAAGAACAUGGUGAAGAGAGUGAAACGCAUUGUCAUUUGGGGUGAAUUGCAGAAAGAAAU
rnacentral:lncRNA from 1 species